AACUACUGUGAACACCCACGAGCGAUCACACACAUACACAUCCCUCACUCACACACACACACACACACAGCAACAUCUAUCCUACAUACGGCUGAAAAAAAAAGUCUACGAACAAAAUUUUUACAGUGCGUCGCCGCACAUUUCUCCGUAAUGGACGCGACUGAGCUGAAGAACAAGGGGAACGAAGAGUUCUCCGCCGGCCGCUAUGUGGAGGCAGUGAACUACUUCUCAAAGGCGAUCCAGUUGGAUGAGCAGAACAGUGUCCUCUACAGCAACCGCUCCGCCUGCUUUGCAGCCAUGCAAAAGUACAAGGACGCGCUGGACGACGCCGACAAGUGCAUCUCGAUCAAGCCGAAUUGGGCCAAGGGCUACGUGCGCCGAGGCGCAGCUCUCCAUGGCAUGCGCCGCUACGACGAUGCCAUUGCCGCGUAUGAAAAGGGGCUCAAGGUGGACCCUUCCAACAGCAGCUGCGCGCAGGGCGUGAAGGACGUGCAGGUAGCCAAGGCCCGCGAAGCACGUGACCCCAUCGCUCGCGUCUUCACCCCGGAGGCGUUCCGAAAGAUCCAAGAGAAUCCCAAGCUGUCCCUACUUAUGCUGCAGCCUGACUACGUGAAGAUGGUGGACACCGUCAUCCGCGACCCUUCGCAGGCCCGACUGUACAUGGAAGACCAGCGCUUUGCCCUGACGCUCAUGUACCUGAGCGGGAUGAAGAUUCCCAACGAUGGUGAUGACGAGGAGGAGGAACGUCCGUCUGCGAAGGCGGCGGAGACAGCGAAGCCAAAAGAGGAGAAGCUUCUCACCGACAACGAGAAGGAGGCCCUGGCGCUCAAGGAGGAGGGCAACAAGCUCUACCUCUCGAAAAAGUUUGAGGAGGCGCUGACCAAGUACCAAGAGGCGCAGGUGAAAGACCCCAAGAACACUUUGUACAUUCUGAACGUGUCGGCCGUGUACUUCGAGCAGGGUGACUACGACAAGUGCAUCGCCGAGUGCGAGCACGGUAUCGAGCACGCUCGCGAGAACCACUGCGACUACACAAUCAUUGCGAAGCUCAUGACCCGGAACGCCUUGUGCCUCCAAAAGCAGAGGAAGUACGAGGCCGCCAUUGACCUUUACAAGCGCGCCCUUGUCGAGUGGCGUAACCCUGACACCCUCAAGAAGCUCACGGAGUGCGAGAAGGAGCACCAAAAGGCGGUGGAGGAAGCCUACAUCGAUCCUGAGAUCGCGAAGCAGAAGAAAGACGAAGGUAACCAGUACUUCAAGGAGGAUAAGUUCCCCGAGGCCGUGACAGCGUACACGGAGGCCAUCAAACGCAACCCUGCCGAGCACACCUCCUACAGCAAUCGCGCGGCCGCUUACAUCAAGCUUGGAGCCUUCAACGACGCCCUCAAGGACGCGGAGAAGUGCAUUGAGCUGAAGCCCGACUUUGUUAAGGGCUACGCGCGCAAGGGUCAUGCUUACUUUUGGACCAAGCAGUACAACCGCGCGCUGCAGGCGUACGAUGAGGGCCUCAAGGUGGACCCGAGCAACGCGGACUGCAAGGAUGGGCGGUAUCGCACAAUCAUGAAGAUUCAGGAGAUGGCAUCUGGCCAGUCCGCGGAUGGCGACGAGGCGGCGCGCCGCGCCAUGGACGAUCCUGAAAUCGCGGCAAUCAUGCAAGAUAGCUACAUGCAACUAGUGCUGAAGGAGAUGCAGAACGAUCCCACGCGCAUUCAGGAGUACAUGAAGGACUCCGGCAUCUCAGCGAAGAUCAACAAGCUGAUUUCAGCUGGCAUCAUUCGUUUUGGUCAGUAGACUUCUACGCUGCCUCAUUUUUUUCUGUGUCUUUGCGUCGGCGGACAUCACAAAGAACAGUAAAGCAGCGAUUCGCAUGCACGGGUAAAGUGCUGCGCCUCUCAAACACGACGUCGAGGCUGUGGUGCAGAUGCGCGUCCCGCAUGAAGGUAAUGAAGAGGAAGCAAGGGAUGUCGUUUGUGAGCCUUUGUGGCUGCGCACACACUCCUUAUCUCCUUCGCUUGGCACCUUCUCCCCUUUUUUUUCUCACGCUCUUCCUGGCGCGGUGGUGCAACGAUUUUGUUUUAUUUUCGUGUGUAGUUCCUCUAUUCAACGGUGCAAUGACGCUAAAGAAGCUGCCCUGUAUUCGGCUAGGGCGAAGGUAAAAGACUAGAGGGAGGGAGGGAGGGAGGGGGAAGGCAGGGGCGGCGAGCAGAGGGGACACCGUGGCCAUCACCGAAAAGAAGCAAGCAAAAGAAAAGGUCUCCAACGCCUGCAUUUCCGCGCGCUCUCACCCACCUCCCUUCUCUCUCUCUCUCGCUAUCUUGUCAACGGAGACAUGAAGGUCAUUUGGUAGGAAAAGAGGGGAGGGAGGGGGACGACGCGCUGCGUCUUUCGGGCACUGGCCGCGUGCGGCACCCUCUUUUUUUUUCUCUCUAUUGGCACUGUCUUGUUUCUUUUCCCUUUCCUAUCAUACGCGUCUCGCAAAAGACUCCGCGCUGAGCAGCCAUGUGCUGCGGCGUGGAGGAAGUACAUCGACGUCACUGAUGCAUAAAUGCGCGUCCGUGUACGCGCUUGUAUGGAGCUUCUAACAGCGUCUGUGUGUGUCUGUGUAUUUCGAGCGUCUGUAUGCUAUUCUAUUAAGCACCGAAGAAACGACACAAACGACAGCGAAGAUGGUGUCGGCUUUUCGGCUAAUCGCUCCCUUCAAUAGCUUCUCUGAAGGAGAUUCUCCCCCCAGAGGAAUAGACUGCAGAUGGGGUCAACGUAUAUCUGAGGAGUCGACAGAAGACAAGGAAAAGAAGGGUGACGCAGAACCAUGUUGUUUUCUUUGUGCCCAGGUGUCACGUUGGCAGCGGCGGGCCUGUGCAGGUGGCGAUGGAGGCGCACGGGGUGGCAUAGAAGCUCACGGGCUGAUCACGCAGCUUCUGGCUUUACAAGCUGAUCAUCUUGCUGCGAUGCUGCGAUGCCGCGGUGCACCGUGACACCCGUGCAUACCAAAG
rnacentral:misc_RNA from 1 species